AUGCUGACGAUAUCUUCAAAGAACAUUGCAACAGCAUCUAGGCUUCACAGCAACAUAUGUUUGCCAUGCUCGGCAAUAAUUCGUCCGUCGUUGACCAUGACACAAUCUACAACCCCAGAAUCUAUUUGUGGAAGCAGUGCGCCAUCCAUGUUACCAGAUGGUAGCAGUUCAGAGGCAACACCACCGGAGAGCAGUCUGAGCACAGAUAUUAUAGUGCUUGAGGCUCUACUAGAGGCAGAAAGAGAUGGUGUGGCUGCCAUGAAUGAGUAUUUUACUCACAUGUUCAACUGCAGUACCACACCGAUCUUGGAUGAGUCCAUGGAGCUUAUGGCCAAGAAAAGUCUCUGCCCAGCCGACGCAUGUCGAGGGUGCUGCUCCCGAUCUUCAGUGGUGAGCACGGCAACGACGGCCGGGUGGGAUCUCGGGCAGGAGCCAGUGAUCUACACGGGGCACAUAGCUCGACUUGGGCUCGAGAUUCCGACCGCUGGCACGGCGUGUGCUCGUGGGCGGGAGCAACCUGCUCAAUGGAUACCGGUUUGCGAACAUGAUGUACUCGACGUAGUUGAGCCAGUGAGCCUGGAGGCGUUCCUGCCGUCGUACGAUGACGUGCGGCUCAACGGCGUGCGGCCACAUGCCAGCAUAUGUCGGCUACGGGGAAGUGGCAUCGGUGUGGUUCGAGAUGCCCAGCUGGCCAUUGUCGCGGCGGCGUUCGCGACUCACUCGUUCGAGUUGAACCGGCCGGUGGUGGCCUAG
rnacentral:rRNA from 1 species